ACGGAAGGCAGCAGUGGGGAAUAUUGGGCAAUGGGCGAAAGCCUGACCCAGCGACGCCGCGUGAAGGAAGAAGGUCUUCGGAUUGUAAACUUCUUUUAUAUGGGACGAAGAAAAUGACGGUACCAUAUGAAUAAGCCACGGCUAACUACGUGCCAGCAGCCGCGGUAAUACGUAGGUGGCAAGCGUUAUCCGGAUUUACUGGGUGUAAAGGGUGUGUAGGCGGGACUGCAAGUCAGAUGUGAAAACUAUGGGCUUAACUCAUAGCCUGCAUUUGAAACCGUGGUUCUUGAGUGUCGGAGGGGUUACUGGACUUCCCGGUGUAGCGGUGAAAUGCGUAGCUAUCGGGAGGAACACCCGUGGCGAAGGCGAGUAACUGGACGAUACCUGACGCUGAGACACGAAGGUGUGGGGAGCAAACAGGAUUAGAUGCCCUGGUA
rnacentral:rRNA from 1 species